AAAUAAGUGACUUGUAGCUGUACUAUUUGGGUUUUAGAUGAAAAAUGUUGAAUAUAAGAGAAAAUAUAUGAAGAAAUAAAAUAAUUUAAAAAACAAUUUUAGGAAGAUAAUAGACUUUAUUCCCUUGCACCUCUUUUUCAUAUUUAGCUGAAGUAGCCAUUGCAUUUCUGGUGUAUUACUUUCUUACCCAAAACAUUGUAAUCCACUUUUAUUUUCUUUAAAAAAAAUAAUUGUGUAAUCUUAUGAAAUAGCGCCUCCAGUUAUCUUUACCAACUCUGGCUUUGCGCAGAGAUUGUUUAACAGUUUCUCGGAUGCUACCUCCCACUCCUCCACGUAGAUCCCCCUCUUAACCAAUCCCAUGCCUCCCCAAAAAGUUUACGCCAUGCAGCCUAUAAGAAGUGCCUAAGUUUCUCAAGUAACAGAAAGACUUGUCCUCUCAGGAACACAUCUAUGGAUUCUUUAGAUGUCUCCAAAAGCCCGCAGAUCUUUGGUUGGACGAACUCCCUGACUCCAUGAGAGGGGGGUUGCUUUGACUCUGUCUGCUGGACGCCUAUACCAGGUGGGAAUGUCUGAGGAAAAUCUGGGGGAAGACUCGGCCAGCUCCCCUGUCUCUCCUGUGGACAGUGUGAGCAACAGCGAGGGGGAGCUGGACAGACCGCCGAAGAGAUGUGGGAGGAAGAGGAGACCGAGCAGGAAAAACGGGGAGGACUCAGAUAGCCCGACCCCUGGGAAAAGAGGGAAGAAGUCCAGCAGCAGCAGCCCGCAGUCUUUCGAGGAGCUCCAGUCGCAGCGCGUCAUGGCCAACGUCCGGGAACGACAGAGGACGCAAUCUCUCAACGAGGCGUUCGCGGCUUUGCGCAAAAUCAUCCCCACUUUGCCCUCCGACAAACUCAGCAAAAUACAGACUCUAAAGCUGGCAGCCAGAUACAUCGACUUCCUCUGCCAGGUGCUGCAGAGCGACGAGCUGGACUCCAAGUUGUCAAGCUGCAGUUAUGUGGCGCACGAGAGGCUGAGCUACGCCUUCUCUGUGUGGAGGAUGGAGGGCGCCUGGUCCAUGUCAACAUCUCACUAGCACCUGGAGAAACCCUGCCCAAAAUGGUACGCCGGGUUCCAAAACCCAAACCUGCACUAUUCAAGCUGAAAAUGUGACUGCUGAAUUUAUUUCCUGAAGGAACAACCUGGAGUCCAAUGCUGGAUACAUGGGAUCACUGCCACAGACGACUGAAGCUCUGCGUGGGGAUCUUUUUUUAUAUAUAAGAGGCCCGACAGCCUUGCGUCAGCUCCCCACUCUGAUGAGUUUUCAUGCUGUUGACGAAGAAUGUUCAAAAAAUAUCUUUUUUGUGGUGUUUUUCUAAUCUUUUCCUUUUUUAAAAAAAAUCUGUGUUUAAAUGCAUGCAUUUAGACUUUUCUCUGUGGUCAAAGUGCAUCAUUGAAGUCUCAGUAUUUCUUCAGCCGGUGGUGUUGCUCAUGCAGGCUGACUUUGUGGAUCUAACCUGUGCAAAAAAAAGGAAAAGUAUUUUGAGAAUAUUUAUUUAUUGAGGAAACGAGGAGGAAUAGAUCCUGUGUCUGGAAUAAAAUGCAUUCCUAUUUUUUUUUAUAAUCGCCUCUUUUAUAAAUGUUUGUAUAUAUGUUUUUGCAUUAAAGAAAAGUACGAUGGGAGGACUGGAGUUUUUUUUGUUCCUUUCUGUGCAUGAAGGCCAAAAAUGAAAAAUAAAAUUAAAAAUAAAUAAA